GACGAACGCUGGCGGCGUGCUUAACACAUGCAAGUCGAACGGAAAGGCCCUGCUUUUGUGGGGUGCUCGAGUGGCGAACGGGUGAGUAACACGUGAGUAACCUGCCCUUGACUUUGGGAUAACUUCAGGAAACUGGGGCUAAUACCGGAUAGGAGCUCCUGCUGCAUGGUGGGGGUUGGAAAGUUUCGGCGGUUGGGGAUGGACUCGCGGCUUAUCAGCUUGUUGGUGGGGUAGUGGCUUACCAAGGCUUUGACGGGUAGCCGGCCUGAGAGGGUGACCGGCCACAUGGGGACUGAGGUACGGCCCAGACUCCUACGGGAGGCAGCAGUGGGGAAUAUUGCACAAUGGUCGGAAGCCUGAUGCAGCAACGCCGCGUGCGGGAUGACGGCCUUCGGGUUGUAAACCGCUUUCGCCUGUGACGAAGCGUGAGUGACGGUAAUGGGUAAAGAAGCACCGGCUAACUACGUG
rnacentral:rRNA from 1 species